GUUGUAUGGUUAAGUGACUAAGCGUACACGGUGGAUGCCUUGGCAGUCAGAGGCGAUGAAAGACGUAGUAACUUGCGAUAAGCCCAGAUUAGGUAGUAACAACCAUUUGAGUCUGGGAUUUCUGAAUGGGGAAACCCACGUGCAUAAGCACGUAUCCUUACCUGAAUACAUAGGGUAAGGAGGCGAACCGGGGGAACUGAAACAUCUAAGUACCCCGAGGAAAAGAAAUCAACCGAGAUUCCGAAAGUAGCGGCGAGCGAAAUUGGACUAGCCCUUAAGCUUUACACGCGUUAGACGAACGGUCUGGAAAGUCCGACGAUACAGGGUGAUAGUCCCGUAGUUGACGACGUGUGUUCAGUGAAAUCGAGUAGGGCGGGACACGUGAUAUCCUGUCUGAAUAUGGGGGGACCAUCCUCCAAGGCUAAAUACUACUGACUGACCGAUAGUGAACCAGUACCGUGAGGGAAAGGCGAAAAGAACCCCUGUGAGGGGAGUGAAAUAGAACCUGAAACCGUGUACGUACAAGCAGUAGGAGCAGGCUUUGUCCUGUGACUGCGUACCUUUUGUAUAAUGGGUCAGCGACUUAUAUUCAGUGGCAAGGUUAACCAUCUAGGGGAGCCGUAGGGAAACCGAGUCUUAACUGGGCGUUCAGUCUCUGGAUAUAGACCCGAAACCAGGUGAUCUAGCCAUGGGCAGGUUGAAGGUUGAGUAACAUCAACUGGAGGACCGAACCGACUAAUGUUGAAAAAUUAGCGGAUGACUUGUGGCUAGGGGUGAAAGGCCAAUCAAACCUGGAGAUAGCUGGUUCUCCCCGAAAGCUAUUUAGGUAGCGCCUCGGACGAAUACUACUGGGGGUAGAGCACUGUUAAGGCUAGGGGGUCAUCCCGACUUACCAACCCUUUGCAAACUCCGAAUACCAGUAAGUACUAUCCGGGAGACACACGGCGGGUGCUAACGUCCGUCGUGGAGAGGGAAACAACCCAGACCGCCAGCUAAGGUCCCAAAUUACUACUAAGUGGGAAACGAUGUGGGAAGGCUCAGACAGCCAGGAUGUUGGCUUAGAAGCAGCCAUCAUUUAAAGAAAGCGUAAUAGCUCACUGGUCGAGUCGGCCUGCGCGGAAGAUGUAACGGGGCUAAGUAGUAAACCGAAGCUGCGGCAAUAUACUUUUGUAUAUUGGGUAGGGGAGCGUUCUGUAAGCGGUUGAAGGUGUGUGGUAACGCAUGCUGGACGUAUCAGAAGUGCGAAUGCUGACAUGAGUAACGAUAAAGGGGGUGAAAAACCUCCUCGCCGGAAGACCAAGGGUUCCUGUCCAACGUUAAUCGGGGCAGGGUAAGUCGACCCCUAAGGCGAGGCCGAAAGGCGUAGUCGAUGGGAAACGGGUUAAUAUUCCCGUACUUCUUACAAUUGCGAUGGGGGGACGGAGAAGGCUAGGUGGGCCUGGCGACGGUUGUCCAGGUUCAAGUGCGUAGGCUUAAGAGUUAGGUAAAUCCGGCUCUUUCUAAGGCUGAGACACGACGUCGAGCACCUACGGGUGUGAAGUCAUUGAUGCCAUGCUUCCAGGAAAAGCCUCUAAGCUUCAGAUUGUAAGGAAUCGUACCCCAAACCGACACAGGUGGUCGGGUAGAGAAUACCAAGGCGCUUGAGAGAACUCGGGUGAAGGAACUAGGCAAAAUGGUACCGUAACUUCGGGAGAAGGUACGCUCUUGAUGGUGAAGUCCCUCGCGGAUGGAGCUGACGAGAGUCGCAGAUACCAGGUGGCUGCAACUGUUUAUUAAAAACACAGCACUGUGCAAAAUCGUAAGAUGACGUAUACGGUGUGACGCCUGCCCGGUGCCGGAAGGUUAAUUGAUGGGGUUAGACUUCGGUCGAAGCUCUUGAUCGAAGCCCCGGUAAACGGCGGCCGUAACUAUAACGGUCCUAAGGUAGCGAAAUUCCUUGUCGGGUAAGUUCCGACCUGCACGAAUGGCGUAAUGAUGGCCACGCUGUCUCCACCCGAGACUCAGUGAAAUUGAAAUCGCUGUGAAGAUGCAGUGUACCCGCGGCUAGACGGAAAGACCCCGUGAACCUUUACUACAGCUUGGCACUGAACAUUGACCCUACAUGUGUAGGAUAGGUGGGAGGCUUUGAAGCACGUACGCCAGUAUGUGUGGAGCCGUCCUUGAAAUACCACCCUUGUAGUGUUGAUGUUCUAACGUCGACCCCUUAUCGGGGUUGCGGACAGUGCCUGGUGGGUAGUUUGACUGGGGCGGUCUCCUCCCAAAGAGUAACGGAGGAGCACGAAGGUGGGCUAAUCACGGUUGGACAUCGUGAGGUUAGUGCAAUGGCAUAAGCCCGCUUGACUGCGAGAAUGACAAUUCGAGCAGGUGCGAAAGCAGGUCAUAGUGAUCCGGUGGUUCUGAAUGGAAGGGCCAUCGCUCAACGGAUAAAAGGUACUCCGGGGAUAACAGGCUGAUACCGCCCAAGAGUUCAUAUCGACGGCGGUGUUUGGCACCUCGAUGUCGGCUCAUCACAUCCUGGGGCUGAAGUCGGUCCCAAGGGUAUGGCUGUUCGCCAUUUAAAGUGGUACGCGAGCUGGGUUUAGAACGUCGUGAGACAGUUCGGUCCCUAUCUGCCGUGGGCGUUGGAAGAUUGAAGGGGGCUGCUCCUAGUACGAGAGGACCGGAGUGGACGAACCUCUGGUGUUCGGGUUGUGUCGCCAGACGCAUUGCCCGGUAGCUAAGUUCGGAAUCGAUAACCGCUGAAAGCAUCUAAGCGGGAAGCGAGCCCUGAGAUGAGUCUUCCCUGAUACUUUAAGUAUCCUAAAGGGUUGUCGGAGACUACGACGUUGAUAGGUCAGGUGUGUAAGUGCUGUGAGGCAUUGAGCUAACUGAUACUAAUUGCCCGUGAGGCUUAACCAUACAACACCCAAGGGGUUU
rnacentral:rRNA from 1 species